GACGAACGCUGGCGGCGUGCCUAAUACAUGCAAGUUGAGCGCUGAAGGUUGGUACUUGUACCAACUGGAUGAGCAGCGAACGGGUGAGUAACGCGUGGGGAAUCUGCCUUUGAGCGGGGGACAACAUUUGGAAACGAAUGCUAAUACCGCAUAAAAACUUUAAACACAAGUUUUAAGUUUGAAAGAUGCAAUUGCAUCACUCAAAGAUGAUCUCGCGUUGUAUUAGCUAGUUGGUGAGGUAAAGGCUCACCAAGGCGAUGAUACAUAGCCGACCUGAGAGGGUGAUCGGCCACAUUGGGACUGAGACACGGCCCAAACUCCUACGGGAGGCAGCAGUAGGGAAUCUUCGGCAAUUGACGAAAGUCUGACCGAGCAACGCCGCGUGAGUGAAGAAGGGUUUCGGAUCGUAAAACUCUGUUGGUAGAGAAGAACGUUGGUGAGAGUGGAAAGCUCAUCAAGUGACGGUAACUACACAGAAAGGGACGGCUAACUACGUG
rnacentral:rRNA from 1 species